rnacentral:rRNA from 1 species
AAGCUCGUAGUUGAAUUUCGGGAUCAAUGUUUCGGUCAUGCCGUUGGUAUGUACCGAUAUUAUUGAUUUCUCACCUUCUAAAGAACCGUAAUGCCAUUAAUUUGGUGUCACGGGGAAUUAGGACUGUUACCUUGAAAAAAUUAGAGUGUUUAAAGCAGGCUCACGCUUGAAUACAUUAGCAUGGAAUAAUGAAAUAGGACAUCCGAUUCUAUUUUGUUGGUUUCUAGGAUCGAUGUAAUGAUUAAUAGGGAUAGUUGGG